CCUACGGGUGGCUGCAGUGAGGAAUAUUGGUCAAUGGGCGGAAGCCUGAACCAGCCAAGUCGCGUGAGGGAUUAAGGCCCUGCGGGUCGUAAACCUCUUUUGCCGGGGAGUAGUGGUCCGGACGCGUCCGGACCGGGAGAGUACCCGGAGAUAAAGCAUCGGCUAACGCCGGGCCAGCAGCCGCGGUAAUACGGAGGAUGCGAGCUUUAUCCGGUUUUAUUGGGUUUAAAGGGUGCGUAGCCGGGCAUUUAAUCCGGCGGUCAAAUGUCGGGGCUCAACCCCGGACUGCCGUUGGAACUGGGUGCCUUGAGUGGGCUAGAGGUAGGCGGAAUGCGUGGUGUAGCGGUGAAAUGCAUAGAUAUCACGCAGAACCCCGAUUGCGAAGGCAGCAUACCGGCGCCCUACUGACGCUGAGGCACGAAAGUGCGGGUAUCGAACAGGAUUAGAUACCCCUGUAGUC
rnacentral:rRNA from 1 species